UGUCGCUUUAGCGACGUACUUGCUUCGGCAGCGCAUAUACAGAGAAUAUUAGCAUGGCCCCUGCUCAAGGAUGACACGAAAAAAAAAAAAAAGCGUAGUGAGUAG